rnacentral:rRNA from 1 species
CGCGGCCUAUCAGCUUGUUGGUGAGGUAGUGGCUCACCAAGGCGACGACGGGUAGCCGGCCUGAGAGGGUGACCGGCCACACUGGGACUGAGACACGGCCCAGACUCCUACGGGAGGCAGCAGUGGGGAAUAUUGCACAAUGGGCGCAAGCCUGAUGCAGCGACGCCGCGUGAGGGAUGACGGCCUUCGGGUUGUAAACCUCUUUCAGUAGGGAAGAAGCGAAAGUGACGGUACCUGCAGAAGAAGCGCCGGCUAACUACGCGCCAGCAGCCGCGGUAAUACGUAGGGCGCAAGCGUUAUCCGGAUUUAUUGGGCGUAAAGAGCUCGUAGGCGGUUUGUCGCGUCUGCCGUGAAAGUCCGGGGCUUAACCCCGGAUCUGCGGUGGGUACGGGCAGACUAGAGUGAUGUAGGGGAGACUGGAAUUCCUGGUGUGGCGGUGAAAUGCGCAGAUAUCAGGAGGAACACCGAUGGCGAAGGCAGGUCUCUGGGCAUUAACUGACGCUGAGGAGCGAAAGCAUGGGGAGCGAACAGGAUUAGAUACCCUGGUAGUCCAUGCCGUAAACGUUGGGCACUAGGUGUGGGGAACAUUCCACGUUUUCCGCGCCGUAGCUAACGCAUUAAGUGCCCCGCCUGGGGAGUACGG